CUGGGGCAGGAGAAUCGCUUAAACUCGGGAGGCAGAGGUUGCAGUGAGUUGAGAUUGCACCACUGCACUCCAGCCUGGGUGACAAAGGUAAACUUCAUCUAAAAAGAAAGAAAAAGAAAAGCUAAGCAUGGGCUUAAUUUCUCUGAGGUUUAAAGCUGCUGCAAAGAGUUACUCUUCAUGAAGUAGGUGGGAUCCCAGCUGGGUCAUGAAAUGUGAGUGGGGUUUGAUCAGCUGGUGGAAGUUGAAGGAUAAUUAUUUAUGUAGGUAAUAGGUAAACACAAUCAGGUGUCUAGGAAAGAGAAUGAGGGAUUCAGAGUGUAGGAGACCAGUUGGAGCUAUAAAACAAGGAGGAUAGGAUUCAUGUCGAAGGUUUGUAGGAAAUCGUGCUGGCGUAAUAUCUUGUACUCAAACAGUUCCAUGGAUUGGUGACAGAUCUUUUUUUUUCUUUUUUCUGAUAAGUCAACUGUUAUGCCUGGAUAUUCAUCUAUCUAUGUAACUGGUUGAGAAACAGGGGAGUAACAGCAAAGAAGCUGUCUUAGAAUAAAUCUGGUGGCAGCAGAAGAGAAUAUGAGACACAUUGUCCUCACAGAGCUUGAAGAGAGUGACGGUAGUUUGAGGGCCACGCUGUUGUCUUAGAGUGAAGUGUGGAGAACCUAUAUGGGUUUGGUAGUCAUGGGUAUGGAAGGAAGAACGAAAUGUGAAAGCCCAUUGGCGGCAGAAUCAAAAUGGCUUGGUCUUUGUAGUCCACUAUUAAGUGAGGAGGAGGAAUUAUUGGCUGACUUAGGAAGAAGUAAAACAUGUGAAAUAUCAAUAAAACACAAAGCUUGCGAUUUUAGUCAGGGUAAAACUUAAACAUUGUAUGAUUCUAGUGAGAUUAUUGAGCAGUUUUGUUCCAUGUAUUUUAUAUCCCAUAUCUUCUAGUUAGGACCCUAUUUCUUUAUUUCUUGACAUAGCCAAACAUUUUUCAAACUGACAGCUUUAUUGUGAUACAGUUUUUAUGUGAUAAGCCUCACCCUUCAAGCGUACAGUUCAGUGGUUUUUAGUAUAUUCAGAGUUAUGCAACCAUUACCACCGCCUAAUUUGAGAACAUUUUCAUCUCCCUAAAAAGAAACCCCGUACCCAUCAGCAGUCACGUACCUCUCUCCCCUACCCUUCAUCCUGGCAAACUCUGAUCUAAUUUCUAUCUCUGUAGAUUUGCCUGUCCUGGACAUUUCAUAUCAAUAGACUCAUACAAAACGUGGCAUUUUGUGACUGGCUUUUCUUUACAGUGAUUAUAAAUCAAAUGCCUGAAGAGGCUAAGCUUAGGAUAGUGUUUGCUGUACAACUUUGACAACUGAACUUUUUUAAAGUUGAAAAUAUGACUGUGUCUGUAUAUAUGGCAUAUUAUCUUAGAUGACCCUUACUUGGAUUAUUAAGAAUUUUUUCUUCUGGUGUUCUUGAACUGUCUCAACAUUCAGCAGGAACCCUUUGGCGACAAAGAGCAUUAAGAAUGUGGAACACAUAUUGACAAAAUGAAGGUAUCUAUUGGGUGGAGGAGCAUUAUGUAUGGAACUUCUCAGAAAACAGGGCUGCUGCAGUGCCUACUCAAUAGAACCGGUCAUCGUGCAAAGAAAUGCCACCUGACUCAAAGGCAAAGCCAGAGUGCAGCUUGGAGCAAAGAAGGUCACAGGUGGCAGAGCAAGGAUUAAAACCAGACAGUCUGGCAGCCCAAGGCCCAAUCAAGAGGAGCUGAGAGUAAGCCAUGGGGCAGAAGGAUGUUGGUGAGGCUGCUUUCCUCUUUAGUUAACAUGAAACACAGGCUGUAACUUUAAUUCUAGGACAUUGCCAAGAAAGUCUUCCAAAGCCAUAGCUUGUUUGCCAUGACCAUGACUUUUAGCAAGAAUUUGUGGCUUAAAGACAACAUGGUGCUCUGAGAAGCUUCUGUUCACUCUCAGGGAGGGACUGGUAGUCGAGCUAAAUAGUGAAAUCCUGGAGCACACAGCCUUUAGGGCAGCUUCUGACCUAUUUCUGUGGUCAGGAAAGAUACCUGUCUUUCCCUGCUGCCCAGAACCUCCAGUUACUCACCUUCAGAGUUUCCUCUUCUGUGAUCACAUUCAGAUGAGAGAUCUGUUUUGUUUUUCUCCGGGUAGGAGGAAGUGAGUCACCACCUACACUGAGCAGUCUAGUCUUCUGUGUAUAAAUGAACAAGGUUGGGCAGCCAAAUUUGAGAACCUUGUAUAAUCCUGAUAUUCUCCAAGAGAAUCCAACAGGAUGUCAGGAUUAUGCACGGUGGUAAAGUGGUCUCCUGUUAGUUGUGUCCACAGCUCUCAUCAGAAGCAGACACAGAUACAUUUGUAGGAAAGCAUCUCUAACGUAAGCCUGUAGGAUUCCCAGAGAUUAAAAGCAGGUAACAAUGAAUUCAGUGACAUCAUAGCAUUCAAGUAGUCAACCCAACAUAUUUCAGAAUUGUCAGAAACAAUGAAUCAUAUGUUUCCCAAAGACUGCAGGUUUUGGAAUUAUCAGAUGCAAAACACGGACUUCAAAUAUUAGAAUUGGGAGAAAAUAGUUACAUGUGAAAUAAACCUAAUAUAUAAAAAAAGAUGGACUCAUAAAACUGAGUGAGCAGUAAGACCACCAGGAAUGAUGAGGAAGAUCUGAAGGGAAAAUGGAUGAAACAGAACUUACAGAAAUAAAAUACAUAGCUGGGUAUGGUGGCUCACACCUGUAAUCCCAGCACUUUUUG